GUGCGAUGCAGUGAUGACAAAAUCUAACCCAGCUCUAUGAGACCUUUUAAUGAGGUCCGGGAAUAUAUUGUUUUUCCAACAUAUCUGAGCUUCGC
rnacentral:snoRNA from 1 species